AGCUUUGCAGAGUGUCAGUGUCGUAGCCAGUGAGGUUUAUUCAAGGCAUGGUUGUUGCUAAUUAAAACUGGGUCUUAGUCCCUGCCAAAGUAUUUGUCGACUUUUAGUCUAGUACUAAUGCUAGAUUAUAGCUCUUUAUGGUUUACCUAAGCCCCCUUCAAUUUUUAGGU
rnacentral:snRNA from 1 species